rnacentral:rRNA from 1 species
UACGAAGGGUGCUAGCGUUGUUCGGAAUUACUGGGCGUAAAGCGCGCGUAGGCGGCUUUUCAAGUCAGGGGUGAAAUCCUGGGGCUUAACCCCAGAAUUGCCUCUGAAACUGAAAAGCUAGAGUGUCGGAGGGGAUAGCGGAAUUGCUAAUGUAGAGGUGAAAUUCGUAGAUAUUAGCAGGAACACCGGUGGCGAAGGCGGCUAUCUGGACGACAACUGACGCUGAGGCGCGAAAGCGUGGGGAUCAAACAGG